rnacentral:tRNA from 1 species
GGAAGUGGCGGAAUUGGUAGACGCACCAGAUUUAGGUUCUGGCGCCGCAAGGUGUGAGAGUUCAAGUCUCUCCUUCCGCACCA